GUGGGAUAGUCGGAUCGUCAUGCUUGAGUGCAGAACGAUAGGGAACUGAUGGAGAAGGAUCGCUCGUCAAAGAGAGAGGACAGUCUAGAGGGCCAAGAAUAGGAGCGAGGGCUCGUGGUGUGACGAAUAGAGGCAAGAUCAACUCGAGUUGGAUGGAAAAGUCAAUCGACGACGUCCGAUGACAGUAGAGAGACCUACA
rnacentral:lncRNA from 1 species